UUUAGUACCCGGGGAGGGAAGUGCAAAGAACUUUGAAGAGAGAGUUCAAGAGUACGUGAAACCGCUCGGAGGCAAACGGGUGGGCCCUCGAAGUUCGAACGGGGGGAUUCAACCCGUCGGUAAGGUUUUGCGAGGCCGCGGAUUACUCGGAUCCCUUAAGCAAGGACCGUUCCGCGGCCGUCGGCGACCGCCGGCGGGCGCACUUCCCUCUCAGUAGGACGCCGCGACCGGUCGGGAAAAGAAAUAAAAAAAUCGGCGGCCAUGCGGUGUGGACGCUGGCAGGUAUCCGUUGCCGGUCGGUCGGCAUUCGCGUUAACGCGCGCUUUGUCCGGCUCCGGUCGGAAUUAUAGCCGGUCCCACUCGGGUUUCCGCCGCCCGACCGAGGCAAAAGAAAAAGAAAACGAAUCGAACGCGCCCGUGCCCUCCUCCAGGGGGCGCGCGGCAGUCACACGACCGAAGUCCGCCCGGCAGGCCAUGCCCUGGGUCGCCGAACGCCCCGAGUCUUGGCGGUCGGUGUUCGCCCAGUUUCGGUGGGCCGUUGGCCGGGUGCGAUGCCCCCGUGGUGGCGCUCGAGGUCUGCGGCGAGUAGGUCGGUCGCCCACCCGACCCGUCUUGAAACACGGACCAAGGAGUCUAACAUGUGCGCGAGUCGUCGGGUCGUCCACCGCGACGAAACUCGUAAAGGCGCAAUGAAAGUGAAGGCCGAGCGCGCGUGCUUGCACCGCGCCGUGCCGAGGCGGGAUCCGAUACCGGGCGUGUAUUCCCCGACUUCGCGGUCGGGGGAGAUAGUUCGGCGGCGCACCACGGCCCCCGUUCCCGUAAA
rnacentral:rRNA from 1 species